AAGACUAUACUUUCAGGGAUCAUUUCUAUAGUAUGUGACUAGAGAGAAGUUUCUCUGAUCAUGUAGAGCACCCAAAAACAUGAGGAGGACCCAGAGCAUCCUCUCCUAGCAUGAAGCCGGACCUAGGUGUUGCUUCUGCGACUACCUUUGGCCAUUGAUGAUUGUUCUCCCCUUCCUUUGGAAGGUGUAGAGGGAGAAGAUGCAGUCUGAGUGGU